UGUUCCCGUCACAAUUAAAAAUUUCUCGUAUUUAAGGCAUGCUAAUUCUAGAUUGACAAAUAUGUAUAUUGUAGGUUGUAGACAGUUGACUUAAUGCAUAUUAAUAAUAGUUUAACAAAUAUACAUAGGUAAGACAAGUGGAUGACUGUCUGGUGGUUAUGAUUUUUCUCUUCUCUUCACUGCAUUUUGGGCUCAAACUUAUCUCCAUCUCAAACACAAACGAUUCUAAUAGCAAUACUGGAUAUUAAAGUCGUAGGCGAAAACUAAAAACAAUCUCAAAUAAAACAGGAGAAUUACGUGGUUUGGUGUGGAAGCCUGUGUGUAUAUGCGAAGCAUGGUAAGAAAAUUCCACUAAACAAGCCUAACAAAACCAAACGAAAACGGAGAAGACUCUCCCAAACCGCUCUAUAACUCUCAAACUUACAAAGUGGCUCUGACAAAACUGUCACAAAUUUGCCACUACAAAAUAAACCAUCCUUAAAGUUCGAUUUAUAGAGUAUAGAAACGAGGGUUACAUAGGAAUGUAAUCAGGGAACGAAACUCAAUCCAUAUAGGACACAACUUAGCCUAAAUAUAAUUCCAAAAUGAAGCGGCCCGCAAAAAUUUUCGAUCCACGCACUCGAAUCGCCCACCACGAUCUCUAUGGUACCUACUAAAAUCCUCGUCGGUGCUUACUCACUGGACCUCUUGGUUGUCCAGCUCCAAAUGGUUCUAUUUUUGAGCUAUACCACAAUCACCUCUCCUAAAACUCAACAUCCCCCACCGCCCCACGCAAUCUCACCACCACUUCUCGUCCAAGAAACCGCCAAACGCACUCUCUCAAUCUCACAACUUCAAUUUCACAUUUGGUUCCAUAGAAAGAGAGAGAAAAUGAGGCUGAUGGGGUUGGGCAAGCUUUUGGAUUUUCUGAAUUAUUAUUUUUUAUUUUUCUAAUUUUAUUAAGUUAGCGCUAUUAUGUUCAAGGGUUAUGUGUCAAAAUAUACGAGAUUGACACUUAUUUGGCAUGCAGCAUUUUUUAUCACCAUCAUGCUAUGAUGUAUAUACUCACCACAU
rnacentral:lncRNA from 1 species